rnacentral:rRNA from 1 species
UACGUAGGGUGCAAGCGUUAAUCGGAACUACUGGGCGUAAAGCGUGCGCAGGCGGUUUUGUAAGUCUGACGUGAAAGCCCCGGGCUCAACCUGGGAAUUGCGUUGGAGACUGCAAGGCUAGAAUCUGGCAGAGGGGGGUAGAAUUCCACGUGUAGCAGUGAAAUGCGUAGAGAUGUGGAAGAACACCGAUGGCGAAGGCAGCUCCCUGGGUCAAGAUUGACGCUCAUGCACGAAAGCGUGGGGAGCAAACAGG